UGUGCCCAGAUGGGAUUAGCUAGUAGGUGGGGUAACGGCUCACCUAGGCGGCGAUCCCUAGCUGGUCUGAGAGGAUGACCAGCCACACUGGAACUGAGACACGGUCCAGACUCCUACGGGAGGCAGCAUG
rnacentral:rRNA from 1 species